rnacentral:rRNA from 1 species
UACGGGGGGGGCAAGCGUUGUUCGGAAUUACUGGGCGUAAAGGGCUCGUAGGCGGCCUGCUAAGUCGAAUGUGAAAUCCCCGAGCUCAACUCGGGAACUGCGUCCGAUACUGGCAGGCUUGAAUCCGGGAGAGGGAUGCGGAAUUCCAGGUGUAGCGGUGAAAUGCGUAGAUAUCGGGAGGAACACCAGUGGCGAAGGCGAUCUUCUGGACGGAUACUGACGCUGAGGCGCGAAAGCUAGGGGAGCAAACGGG